GGUAGUCUGUGAUGACCUCCGCUGACAUGUGAUUCAUGGAUCUUGAGUUAACAGUAUGGAUGUCUGAACUCCAC